AAAAAAAACAGAAAAAACA
rnacentral:sRNA from 1 species